rnacentral:rRNA from 1 species
AUGACGUCUAUAUUAAGCCCUAUUAAAUUUAUAUUUAAUUUACCUAAUAAAAAUUACAGAGAUGGAAAUACUAAUUAUAAAAUAAUUUGUUUUUCUUACCUUUUGCAUAAUGGUUAAACUAAAAUAAUGUUGGUUAACUUUUCCCGAAUUAAGAAGAGCUAACUAGUGACUUAGUAUUAGAGAUAUUCAGAGUUAUGUAGAAGUAUGGCUCAAAGAUCACUAGUUAGGGGUGAAAUGCCUUCAAUUCUUAGGUUAUCUGGAAGUUGUAGAAAAGCAUUUAGUGCUGAAAAGUGAGAUAUAUGAUGGUCAGAUCCUAUAUUGGUAGAAUUUGAAGUCUAAUUACAUUCUUUAGGAAUAAAAUCUUUUAGAUAAAAACUUCUUAGAAUUUUUCUUUCUUUGAAUCUAGAUAUUAUACAACCCUUUUAAGUAACAAAAAUUAAAAUUGAAAAUGUUUAAAUUAGUAAUUAGCUAGUAUUUUAGAGUUUUUAUAGCUCUUAUUUACAAUAUGUGUUUAAAUCCUCUUUAAGGAACUCGGCAAAUAAGGAUUCGGACUGUUUACCAAAAACAUAGCCAUAAGAUAGUAUUUAUGGUUCAACCUGCCCAAUGUCUGAGAAGAUGAAUGGCCGCGGUACCCUGACCGUGCUAAGGUAGCGUAAUCACUUGGCUUUUAAAUGGAGUCACGUAUGAAUGGGAUAACCGUGUUCGGCUGUCUCAAAGAGGUUAAUUUGAAUUUACUGUCCAAGUGAAAAAGCUUGGUAGAUGAAGGGGGACGAGAAGACCCUUAGAAUUUUUUUUAAAUCGAAAUCAUUUUUGUUCGGAUUUUGUUGGGGCGACAAUGGGAGAUAUUAGAACUUCUAAUUAUUACAUGCCGAUAAUGAUAAGCUGGGAUAAAUUACCUGAGGGAUAACAGCGUAAUUCUAAAGUUGAGUUUAUGACCUCGAUGUUGGACUAGGGAACUGGCAGGCUAGCCGUUUGUCUUGUGGGUUCUGUUCGAACUUUAAUCCCUACAUGAUCUGAGUUCAGACCGGCGUAAGCCAGGUCAGAUUCUAUCUCCUUAAUUUUUGGUUUUAGUACGAAAGGAUUAAACUGAAUUAUGAUAAUAAAUAUUGACUUGGCAGAAAAGUGCAUUUGAU